AUGUCGGGCUACCCUUUUUACCCAUACGGCCGCGGUGGCGCAGGCAACGAUGCGUCGGCGAUGUCGGACUACCCUUUUUACCCAUAUGGCCGCGGUGGGGCAGGCGACGAUGCGGCGGCGAGGUACUCUUCCUACGAGAUCGACCUCAUCGCGGCGCGCUACGCUGGCGACCCGUCACCCUACCCCUACCCCUCCGCCUCCGGCGGAUUCGACCCGCAUGUCGGCGCGAGGCGACCCGCAGAUGUUCUCUAUCAUCAAUCUAUUAUGGGAAGCCAUAGUACUAUUGGGCAGAGUGAUGCAUUUUAUUCUCCAAACACUAUGGUCAAACGCCCUAGGCUUGAAAGCAGCCUUCCUAUUUAUCCACAGCGACCUGGGGAAAAGGAGUGUGCUUUCUAUAUGAGGACCAGAACAUGUAAGUAUGAAGAAACCUGCAAAUUUGACCAUCCACAAUGGGUUCCAGAGGGCGGGAUUCCAAAUUGGAAAGAGGGUACAAAGGCUGGGGAAUCCUAUCCCGAACGACCAGGGAAACCAAAUUGUCCUUUUUUUGUAAAGACUGGUGAGUGUAAGUUUGGGUCUAAAUGCAAGUUCAACCAUCCAAAGAAAAAGGAUGAUGGAACAGCGGCUGGACCAGGCGAUAAAGAGUCUCUAUUUUCUGGUAAUUCUACCUUACCGGUGAACCCUUCUGAGCCUUGUCAGGAGUCUCUAAUUUCUGGUAAUUCUACCUUACCGGUGAAGCCUUCUAAACCUUGUCCGCACUAUGCAAAAGGCAAAUGCAAAUUAGGAACAAAUUGUAAGUUCAUUCAUGCAAAGGAUAUGGAGGCACCUUCAAGUGGUGGAAAUGAAUCUGAAAAUACAGCAACUGCUGAAGCAGCAGGCCACCAUGGUGCAGUGCAUGAUUCAGUUUCAGCAAAGAAGUUAGCACCAGUUGCUCUGGAGCAUAACUCAAAGGGCAUGCCUAUAAGACCAGGUGAAGUUGAUUGCUCAUUUUAUAUUAAGACGGGCAGCUGCAUGUAUGGUAGAACAUGUCGGUUCAACCAUCCUGAACGACAUAUUCAAGCAUCUGUUGUCCCUGGCGAGAUGCUAAAUCCAGCUGCGAAAUUCCCGCCGAACUUUGAUUUUCGUGUGACACAUGUGCCGAUUGAACCUGAGCCAAUCACCUACCCUCAGAGGCCUGGAGAAACUGUUUGUGAUUUCUAUAAGAAGACAGGAUUUUGUAAAUUUUCUGAAAAAUGCAAGUUUCACCAUCCAGUUGAUCGGUCUGCACCUGAUUCCAUUGCAAAGUGGGAGCCAUCUCAGCAACCUGUGACCCUUAUUGUUGCUGGCUUUCCAAGGAGAGAGGAUGCUGAGGCUUGUGCCUAUUACAUGAAGACCGGCGCAUGCAAGUUUGGCGUCCAGUGCAAGUUUGACCACCCGCCCCUUGGGGAGGCCAUUGCCAAGGUUUCGAAGCAUGGAGAAGGAAAGGAAGGUGGAAAGAAGAAGGCGGUAGGACUGAGUUAUGUCCUGGAAAAUUAG
rnacentral:rRNA from 1 species